CAGAGGUCCCAAGCGUUGUUCGGAUUCACUGGGCGUAAAGGGUGCGUAGGCGGUCGGAUAAGUCUGAUGUGAAAUCUUCGAGCUCAACUCGGAAACUGCAUCGGAAACUAUUUGGCUAGAGGAUUGGAGGGGAGACUGGAAUUCUCGGUGUAGCAGUGAAAUGCGUAGAUAUCGAGAGGAACACCAGUGGCGAAGGCGAGUCUCUGGACAGUUCCUGACGCUGAGGCACGAAAGCUAGGGGAGCAAACAGGAUUAGAUACCCUGGUAGUCCUAGCCCUAAACGGUGCACGUUUGCUGUAAGAGGAAUCGACCCCUUUUGUGGCGAAGCUAACGCGUUAAACGUGCCGCCUGGGAAGUACGGCCGCAAGGUUA
rnacentral:rRNA from 1 species